UGCUCUUCCCAUCUGUGAGUUGAGCUGAGGUUUGAGUAUGCCUGUGGGCUAUUUGAAAGGAGCUGCAGGCAAGGGACCUCCAGCAGCUCAUGUGUAGGCCUCCCGAUGGAGUCCAUGAGGCAGCUAGUAAGAUCUAUGUCCCUUUGGUAUCUUCUAUUCUGAGCCCUGACUGCUU